CAGUCGCCGCGGUAACACGUAGGGUGCAAGCGUUAAUCGGAAUUACUGGGCGUAAAGCGUGCGCAGGCGGUUUUGUAAGACAGAGGUGAAAUCCCCGGGCUCAACCUGGGAACUGCCUUUGUGACUGCAAGGCUAGAGUACGGCAGAGGGGGAUGGAAUUCCGCGUGUAGCAGUGAAAUGCGUAGAUAUGCGGAGGAACACCGAUGGCGAAGGCAAUCCCCUGUGCCUGUACUGACGCUCAUGCACGAAAGCGUGGGGAGCAAACAGGAUUAGAUACCCGUGUAGUCCCUGUCUCUUAUAC
rnacentral:rRNA from 1 species